rnacentral:rRNA from 1 species
ACGGGUGAGUAACGCGUGGGAACGUACCUUUUGGUUCGGAACAACACAGGGAAACUUGUGCUAAUACCGGAUAAGCCCUUACGGGGAAAGAUUUAUCGCCGAAAGAUCGGCCCGCGUCUGAUUAGCUAGUUGGUAGGGUAAUGGCCUACCAAGGCGACGAUCAGUAGCUGGUCUGAGAGGAUGAUCAGCCACAUUGGGACUGAGACACGGCCCAAACUCCUACGGGAGGCAGCAGUGGGGAAUAUUGGACAAUGGGGGCAACCCUGAUCCAGCCAUGCCGCGUGAGUGAUGAAGGCCCUAGGGUUGUAAAGCUCUUUUGUGCGGGAAGAUAAUGACGGUACCGCAAGAAUAAGCCCCGGCUAACUUCGUGCCAGCAGCCGCGGUAAUACGAAGGGGGCUAGCGUUGCUCGGAAUCACUGGGCGUAAAGGGUGCGUAGGCGGGUUUUUAAGUCAGGGGUGAAAUCCUGGAGCUCAACUCCAGAACUGCCUUUGAUACUGAAGAUCUUGAGUCCGGGAGAGGUGAGUGGAACUGCGAGUGUAGAGGUGAAAUUCGUAGG